UGGAAGGCUAUUGAGGAUGGUAGCUGACUCUAUAGCCACUCCAUUUUUUCAUAUUUUUAAGACAAAUGUUUGUCCUCAGACCCGGAGGGAAGUCCUUCCACUACCCAAGAAUGGGGAAGGAUGGCCAGCCACACAGGAGGGUGAUUUUCACUAAGGAGGAGAAGGAGGCCGUGCUGACCGAGAUGCAUGCUGGCCAUUUCGGAGUGAAGCGCAUGAUUGCCAAAAUCAACCUACGCUUCUUCCAACAGGGAAUUGUCAAGGAGGUCAGCAUCCUGUCUAGCCUGACAGAAGUUUGAGUGGGUGAAAACUGUGGCGCCGGAGUUGAAGCCAAUCAAAGUUUUCACCAUGGCAACUGAUCGUCCAAUUAAAAUGUUGCCUU